AUGGUAUCAAGGUUUCCUGCCCCAAGGAUCCAACUCUCCUCCUCAAAACCACCUGGGCACACAGAGCUCAGUAUCAGCAUCGGACCUCUGGGUGUCCCCUGGCCUCAACUUGCUCCUGGUCAUGAUACUCCCUCAGGUUAGGAAACCCGGGCCUGCUGCUCCCUGUUGCUCCUUGGUUGCAUGGUGAGUGGCUCUGCUUGGCUCCUGCUCUGACCUGACUGGGGAGGAAAACCGAAGCACCAACUGACCAUGACCUUCAAACCUCCAGAACUAGGAGAUAAAAUCAAACUUUUGCUUCACAAAACUUGAUCAGUUUUAUACUGUGUUGUUUUGUAUGAAUUCUCUGUAUGCGAAGACAUGGACAACUAUUUGGAAGAAAACAAGAGACAAUAUGAUAAAUAGUAAAGAUCUCAGGACAUCUAUCUUUGAAA